AUUGCCUGGGUGCCUUCCCUUCUCUGCCAGCUGCGUUUGUGUGCCAGCAGAGAAUGUACAGUUGAGAUGGUACUGAUCCACAGGGCAAUGGCUCUGGUUCUUCUCCAGUCCAAACAUAGGAAUAUCCCUGAUCCCUUCCAGCAGAUGGAAUGAAGUGGCUAGUGCUAUAGCACGUUCUGCCUCCUGGAAUACUGUUCUGUGGGCUCUCCAGCUGUAUUGAGACAAGGAAAGCUUUUAUCUAGCUCCAUGGGUGCAGUGCAGUAGCAGUGUCGUCAAAUGCGGGGCUACUUCCAUUUUAAGCUCUUAAAAGGAGCUUAUACACUUGAGAAAUGACCCUUUUGGCUGAGAUUGCUCUUUCUCAGCCUGUCUGGUAAAGCCAAUUUUGGCCCCAUUUCAGUUCAUGUUCUUGAGCUGCAGUAACUGAACUGACUUCUCAAAGCUCAGGCAUGGCAGGUCCAUAGUUAUGUGAGAAAUCACAUUUUUUUUAAAAUUGGCUUAGCAUGUGCUGGGUGUAGCUUUUCUGAUUUUUGCAGUUAGCAGGCAUUGACCUCUGGAUGCGUAGUCACAGAAACAUGCGUGAAAAAACAUGACAUGUACUGUCUGUGCUAAUGCAGUUUCUGAAUGCACCUCAUGCGGGAGGAUGCAGGAAUUGUGCAUCUGUUAGUGUGAUCCACAAACACACCCUUGCUAUUCACCAUCUUUUCAGGGGUUCUCCUUUCCUGUCCAGGCUGAAUGGGGAUUUCCCUGUGAGUUCAGUCCUGUAACCCACUCCUCCCUUAAUGUGAAU